GGACCAUGGCUCAGUGGUGGAAUCUCUGCUUUGCAUGCAGAAGGUCCCAGGUUCAAUCCCUGGCAUCUUCA